UGCAUAAUAAUAAACCCAAAUAAGUUUUCUUCACUUAAAAAAUUAUAAAAGAAAGAAAGUGUAGGGAAUGUAUGUGAUUGUGACACAUAAGGGACUAGAGGAGUAAACGGAACAAUAAGAAUGUGAGACAUAGAGACAGAACAAUAAAAGACGUACGUGAGACACAUAAACAUAGCAAUAAGGGACUUGAUACACAGAGGCAUAGUAAUUGUCUUCAAUUUACAGAAUCAUUGGGUCUCGCAUGGAUUCAUGGACAUGCACAGUCAAGGCAUUUCUGAAUGGAUUUUUGGUAAAGCUAAACAACAGCAAUAAAAAAAAAUCUCAUUGUUUUACUUAAUGAUCGAAUCAAUGACUUAAUUUCUGUCUUUCUCCAACAACCUUUGCACUCUGCCGUAAGCAUCUCUUCCCCAUUCCAUUUCAUUGCUAUUCGUCUUGCUUAGUUUUUAUUUUUGUUUUUUUAUCUAAAGGUGGGAAAGCCAUUAUACAUUAAUUAGCAUCUUACGAGGGGUUACUAUGUGCCAAAUAUUCUUGUACCAUUCUCUUCGAAGCUUAUAAUGUGAGCGCUUUCACAUUAUCAUUGGCUUCUUUCAUUGCUAUGACAGUAGCAACAAUUUCUUUGCAUGUAUUAUUGGUAGCCAAGGACACCCUCAACUAAAAUUUAGAAGAAAAAAGAAUAAUAAUACAAGUGAUUAACCAAAGGCAUUACUUAAUUAAUUAGGGUAAAUAUAUUUACCCGUGUAAUUAAGAAAUCACUAUCUGACAUGGAUGCAUGAGGCAAGCCACUACAGUACCAAUGGUGACUAUAUAUCUUACGUUACAUGUACAGAACCACGUGUAAAGACUCCCUGCCUGAGUGUACCCAAAUGCAAGCAUGAAUUUUGGGGGGGGGGGGGGGAUUAUCUAUCUAUCUAUAUAUAGCUAGAAGA
rnacentral:lncRNA from 1 species